ensembl:lncRNA
GAUGGAUUUUCAAAUGUGCACUUAUCUUAAUUUCUUUUUAUCUGCAACUACUAAAUAAUAUGAUCUAUAUAAACUAUGAUGUGAUAAGAUUUCUCAGCAGGUGAAUCACAUGAAUGCUGUCAACAUUACCAAGUUUAGAUACCCUAUAGAUAACUCUACUGUACCUUUGCUGUAUGGAGGAUGAUUAGUCCCCAUGUUAUAACCAUAUGUCUUAUAUCGGAUCAGUGCUUGUGCAUUAAAACCUUAGUUUACAGUUGACAAAAAAAAAAAAAAACACAAAAAAACUACUGUGACGGUCUGCCUAGUAUUCUGUUCUAAUUUAUUUAGUUUUCUUUAGUCUCUAAAUUCCAUCAAUUGAUGGUGUACAGCUAAUGGGCAUCCGUGAACAACUGUCUGAGCCUCUGUGUUGCUGUAAUUUUGCCAAUGUCCAGCCAAUGCUCUCCCCAGCAUUAACAGUCAAUAAUUAACUGGCCCACAUCUGAGUAAGUCUUCUUUAGGAUUUUAUAUGAAUGAGUAUGAUGAAGUUGAGUGAAUUUAAUAUUUUGUAGUAAUAGCUGAGCGAUGAGAUCAGCAGCAGAAACACCUUUUUGAACAUUGUUUUCAGUUUAGUCCAGCUGAGUUGUGCAGACUUGAAGAAAAAUCUAACCAGGUUGUUUUGAACCACCUGAGCAUCAUGGGUCAUGGUCUCCAGAAUGGUACCAGCAACAACCGUCUGGGCAUUUAUGUAGCCCUGCCCACACAGUAUGUUUAAAAACAGACCGUAAACAGACAAGAUGUUGCAGCUCACAGUGUACGCUGUGGUCAAGGAUAAGCAAUGUGUCAGUUUGCCAAACAGACUGUUUUGUAAUUAUUUAUUUUGAGAAUGUACCUGUAUACAAUUCACAAAAAAUAAAAUUGUAAAACAUUUCUUCUUACACUCUUGGUAGGCUGUUGUUUGAAAGCAGAUCUGAAACCAGAAAUACUGUAGAUACUGAACCAAGGUAGACUGGCCUUGUAUGUUACUGCACUAUGGGCAAUAUUUUCUUUGUACAUAUUAGCGGAACAGAUUGGGUUUUAUGUUGACAUUGUUUGGUUAUAGUGCAAUAUAUUUUGUAUGCAAGCAGUUUCAAUAAAUAACGGUUGAUCUUCCUCUGCCAA